AAGAUUGAAAUUUUCUUGCCGCACCAACUUUUGGAGAAAGGGAUCGCCAUUGUUGACAGUCCUGGUAUUGGCGAAACGAAACACAUGACUGAAAUGGUUACCGAGUAUCUCACUCAGGCCUUAGCAUUUGUUUAUGUCAUAAACACUCCAAACAGUGGAGGAGUUAAAGAAGACAGGAUUGAAGAGUUGCUGC